UACGGAGGGUGCAAGCGUUAUCCGGAUUCACUGGGUUUAAAGGGUGCGUAGGCGGGCAGGUAAGUCAGUGGUGAAAUCUCCGGGCUUAACCCGGAAACUGCCGUUGAUACUAUCUGUCUUGAAUAUCGUGGAGGUAAGCGGAAUAUGUCAUGUAGCGGUGAAAUGCUUAGAUAUGACAUAGAACACCGAUUGCGAAGGCAGCUUACUACACGAUCAUUGACGCUGAGGCACGAAAGCGUGGGGAGCAAACAGG
rnacentral:rRNA from 2 species